rnacentral:rRNA from 1 species
UUAAAUGUCCAUACCAUGUUGAAUACACCGGUUCUCGUCCGAUCACCAAAGUUAAGCAACGUCGGAUGCGGUCAGUACUUGGAUGGGUACACCUGGGAACACCGCGUGACGUUGGCU